rnacentral:pre_miRNA from 1 species
GGGGGAGGUCGGAUCCUGGGCUGUGUCCCGGCGCCCUGAGCUCCGGGGCCUGCGCUUUAGGAUCCACCUCCCGCCCCGCAGACCCCU